rnacentral:rRNA from 1 species
UACGUAGGGUCCGAGCGUUGUCCGGAAUUAUUGGGCGUAAAGAGCUCGUAGGCGGUCUGUCGCGUCGGUUGUGAAAACCUGGGGCUCAACUCCGGGCCUGCAAUCGAUACGGGCAGACUAGAGUUCGGUAGGGGAGACUGGAAUUCCUGGUGUAGCGGUGAAAUGCGCAGAUAUCAGGAGGAACACCGGUGGCGAAGGCGGGUCUCUGGGCCGAAACUGACGCUGAGGAGCGAAAGCGUGGGGAGCGAACAGG